rnacentral:rRNA from 1 species
AUGAGGCAAAUCUUUUGCCCCGUUUUGAAAAGAAAACGAUUCCUUUUGACGGUUUCUCGGCAUGAAUAUUUAUCACUAAGCCAUUCUUGGAGUAGUAGCCAAUCACCUAGGAGAAGCAAACAGUUUGCAACUCUGGUGAUCUUCGCCUCGGACAACCUCUCUUUGGUGCAGCGAGUUAAUUCUUCUAUCCGUGAUCGUUCUAUGGCAGACAUCUAUUUGGUGCAGCGAGUUAAUUAUUCUAUCCGUGAUCGUUCUGUGGCAGACAUCAAGCAUGCUUUUCUUCUGCUAUUUUCAAGCAUAUUCGUCAGCAUUUUAAUGUUUUAG